GUAGGGGGCAAGCGUUGUCCGGAUUUAUUGGGCGUAAAGAGCGUGUAGGCGGCCAUACAGGUCAGCUGUGAAAACUCGAGGCUCAACCUCGAGACGUCGGUUGAAACCGCAUGGCUAGAGUCCGGAAGAGGAGAGUGGAAUUCCCGGUGUAGCGGUGAAAUGCGCAGAUAUCGGGAAGAACACCUAUGGCGAAGGCAGCUCUCUGGGACGGUACUGACGCUGAGACGCGAAAGCGUGGGGAGCGAACAGGAUUAGAUACCCUGGUAGUCCACGCCGUAAACGAUGGGAACUAGGUGUGGCGGGUGUCGACUCCCGCUGUGCCGAAGCUAACGCAUUAAGCGUCCCGCCUGGGGAGUAUGGCCGCAAGGGUA
rnacentral:rRNA from 1 species